rnacentral:rRNA from 1 species
UGGGGGGGGGAACAGCUUAUAGUUGAUAAUUUCCUAGCUGACAUAUGGGAGCUUGCUCCCUGAUGUUAGCGGCGGNACGGGUGUAGUAACACGUGGGUAACCUGCCUGUAAGACUGGGAUAACUCCGGGAAACCGGGGCUAAUACCGGAUGGUUGUUUGAACCGCAUGGUUCAGACAUAAAAGGUGGCUUCGGCUACCACUUACAGAUGGACCCGCGGCGCAUUAGCUAGUUGGUGAGGUAACGGCUCACCAAGGCAACGAUGCGUAGCCGACCUGAGAGGGUGAUCGGCCACACUGGGACUGAGACACGGCCCAGACUCCUACGGGAGGCAGCAGUAGGGAAUCUUCCGCAAUGGACGAAAGUCUGACGGAGCAACGCCGCGUGAGUGAUGAAGGUUUUCGGAUCGUAAAGCUCUGUUGUUAGGGAAGAACAAGUGCCGUUCAAAUAGGGCGGCACCUUGACGGUACCUAACCAGAAAGCCACGGCUAACUACGUGCCAGCAGCCGCGGUAAUACGUAGGUGGCAAGCGUUGUCCGGAAUUAUUGGGCGUAAAGGGCUCGCAGGCGGUUUCUUAAGUCUGAUGUGAAAGCCCCCGGCUCAACCGGGGAGGGUCAUUGGAAACUGGGGAACUUGAGUGCA